rnacentral:lncRNA from 1 species
UUGGAUAAAAUAAUGGAUCUAAAUGUUUCUGCAAUUGGACUUGUUUCUCUAAUCGUCUUCUGUUUCUUUUUCUAUGGCCACUUCAAAUUUUCUCAAGGAAAAGAAGCUCCCACAGUUGCAGGUGCAUGGCCAAUACUUGGUCACCUUCCAUUGAUGAGUGCUUCAAAGUCACCCCACAGAACCUUGGGUGCUUUGGCUGACAAAUAUGGACCCAUUUUCACCAUCAAACUUGGUGCCAAAAAAGCUUUGGUAAUCAACAACUGGGAAACGGCAAAGGAAUGCUUCACAACAAACGACAUCGUCGUUUCCUCUCGCCCCAAGCUUGUUGCCGCAGAACACAUGAGCUACAACAAAGCCAUGUUUGCCUUAGCACCCUGUGGUCCCUAUUGGCAAAAAAUAAGAAAGAUUACAGUCUCAGAGAUUCUCUCCCCUCAGCGAGUGAAGCAACUACGUCAUGUUUUUGAGUCAGAAGUUGAAGAAUCGAUCAAGGAGCUCUCUAACUUUUGGUGCAGCAACAAGAAUGAGAGCGGUUAUGCCUUGGUGGAGUUGAAGCAAUGGUUUUCUCAUCUGAUAUUCAACAUGGUCCUUCAAAUGAUUACAGGGAAGCGAUAUUUUAGUGCAGCAACUGUGGAUGAUGAGAAGGCACAGAGAUUUGUGAGGGCUGUGGAGGAGUUCAUGCGCCUGUUCGGGGUGUUCACAGUGGGAGAUGCUGUUCCAUGGUUGAGAUGGUUUGAUUUUGGAGGGCAUGAGAAGGCAAUGAAAGAAACUGCAAAAGAGUUGGAUAUUAUUCUUGGUGAGGAGUUAGAGGAACACAGAAAAAGGAAGGGUUUGGGUGAGAAGGAUGAUGAAGUUCAAGAUUUCAUGGAUGUGAUGAUUUCAUUGUUUGAUGGAAUAACUAUUGAUGGGUUCGAUGCAGAUACCGUCAUCAAAUCCACUGUACUGGUAUGGAUCUUUAUUGCAUCUUAUUUUUUUUAUUAAAUCACAUUAUAACUUUAAAUUUUAUUGUACAAAAAUUAAGGUAUUAAAACCAAAACCAUUUAUGAAUUUGAGAAAGAUAAACAAAUAAUAUUAAAUAUUAAAUAACCAAAAUGUUGUGAAGAUGUUAUGAAUUAGGGAUUUAGUGUAAUUUUUUCUUGUAUCUCUAUCACUUUCUUCUUAGAUUUCAUACUUUGAAAAAUACUCAAAUUAUCUUUUAAUAUUUUUUAUUAAAUAUUUUUUCUUUAAUUUCGGAAUAUGCACGUUAACUUCCUGAUUUAUAAAAUUUAGAAGUUAAAAUUUGUGUUUGGGAUUUUACAAUAUUUCUGAUUGUACAAUUCAAAAUUUCAGAUUGUAUAAUUCAAAAUACAAUUUUUUAUAUCAAAUUAUAGAAUUUAAAAUGAAUAAUUUUAGAAUUUUUUACGAAUAUAAGACUGCAAGAUAAAUUAUGAGAUGAAGAAAUAAACUUUUAAAUUUUUAAAAAUGAGGAUUAUGGGGAUAGAUCACCUGUCUCACACUUGGCUUAUGCGGGUUAGGCGAAAUGAUUUAAAUUCUAAAUUUGGUAGCAAAAACUUUGUAGCUAAUUAGAUACAAAUUUAGAAAAUAUUUAACAAUAAUAGAAACUAAUUUAGAAACCAAAAAUUUGUUUAGUCUCUAAAAUGGUCUCUAAUUUAGUCAAUAUAGUAAUUAAUUAUUUUUUGUCUAUAAAAUUAGUUUCUAUUUAAUGAUUUUCUUGUACUGAUGAUUUGUUUAUGUUAUAGAAGAACUUGUGAAUAAGAUCAUAUCCUUAUUUUGUAGUUAGUGAUUGCAGGAGGAACUGACACAAGUAGUACUCUUCUUACGUGGGUAAUAUCUUUGAUUUUGAGAAAUCCUUUGGUAUUGGAAAAAGUAAAAGUUGAACUAGACAUUCAUGUUGGAAAAGAGAAAUGUGUAAGUGAGUCUCAUAUAAGCAAGUUAACAUAUCUUCAAGCCAUAGUCAAGGAAACAUUAAGAUUGUAUCCUCCUGGUCCUCUUUUGGCACCUCAUGAAAUUAUAGAGGACUGCAUUUUAAGUGGUUAUAAUAUAAAAAAAGGAACUCGUCUAAUCACAAAUCUUUGGAAGAUUCACACAGACAAGAAUGUUUGGGAAGAUCCAUUGGAGUUCAAACCUGAAAGGUUUCUUACAACUUACAAAGAUCUCGAUGUCAAAGGUCAUCAUUUUGAGCUAAUACCAUUUGGAGGUGGUAGAAGAAUGUGUCCAGGAAUAUCCUUUGGCCUUGAAGUAGUGCAAUUCUCUCUUGCUAGUAUUUUGCACUCUUUUGAAUUUUUAAGUUCAUCACCUGAUCCUAUUGACAUGACCGAAACCUUUGGAUUAACCAACACCAAAGGCACUCCACUUGAGAUUCUUAUUAAACCACGUCUAUCUUUUAGUUGUAACGAAAACAACUAAUCCAUGUGCUAGCUAUGCUGUCACAAUUUGUUUUCAUUUAAAGUACUUUUUUUCUAUAAUAUUGUUCAAAGUCUUUGUUAUCUUUGUAUUUUCAUUCAAAGUGCUUGAUAUAUUUGUACUUUCCUUCAAAGUACUUGAUAUAUUUAUAGUUUAUCUUGGUAAACUUUGAAACUCUUUCAAAUAUAUAUUAUUUUUAGUAGACUUUCUUUAUUGAGUCAGGUUAGAGAGUUGGACCGUAUUUAGAGAUUCAUUGCUUAAUUCUUAAUCGCGGAUUGAAGUGAUUAAUCCUAUUUGAACGUAAUUGUAUUUAUGUUGUCGAUCAGUUCAUUAAUGUGGAUUACGAUCUCGAUCGGUCACUGAUAAGUCUCGAGAGAUUACAUUAGUCGAUACAAUUAAUGAAUUGCUUAAUUGGUUAACCGUGACUGAUGAAGGUGUGCAAUAAUUGGAAACCAGAGGCAAAAUACAGAGUGCACUAAUUAGCUUAGCAAAUAAUAAGAAAGUGAUGCAUAACAGUUUCACAUAGAAAGAGUUUUGCAAAUCCUUCAACGGGUGGGUGCCAUUUUUACAUGCACCACAUCUCUUUUUUCAGGUAAGUCACGUACUACUUUAAUAUUUAUGUACCCUUUGAUUAAAUGCCUCAUUGGUCAAUGAGCUUACGAUUAUAACACAUCAUUUUCUUAUGCUUUCAUAUUAUAUUAAUAUUCAAAUGACCUACACUGCAAAAUGAUGUGUUAGUAUAACGUGUUUUAAUUUUAAUUAUAUCUCUAUACUUUUUUUCUAUUAGUUUUAAAAGUCUUCUCUUGAUUUGUGCGUCUUAUCUUUAGUCGGGGAUUCUUUGCAUUUUUCCAAUUUUCUCAUAUGUACCACGAGGAACAAAGUCUUGUUUUUUGAAUUUUCUUAGCAGUAAUAGAAUGAAAAUUUUGACUUAUAUGUAAAAAUAUUAUUCAGUAUUACUGGAGCAAUUUUGUCCCAUUCACUACUUUAUUGUUGAGUGGUUCAAUAUUUGUGGCUGAAGACAUCAUAUAUAUAAUAUAUGCGAACCUUAUAUUAUUUUAAUUUAUUUCUUUUACAUGAACUUGGACUUUAUUGAUUCUGGUCUAAAUUAUACACCUUAACCUACCCACAUUCACAAUUCACUUAUGAACAUCUUUUUUCUUAAAUAUCAAUUAACCUUGGAAGAUAUAUACAACAAAUAUCAAGCUAUUAAGGUCAAUAUCUUGUGUUCAUAACACAAUAUUUUUUUCUCAACAAAUCCUUAAAAUAUAUCCUUAACUAUUUUUAAUUAAAUAUUUUAAAACAUAUAUUUUUUAAUUGUUUUUUAUCGUUUAAUUUUUUAUUAAUUAAGUGACAUGAUUAUUAUUUUUCUUACCAUCUUGCGGUUAAUAUAAAAUAAAACAAUAUUAUAGUUAAUGUAAAACAAUAAGCUUAACUAACUUUAUUUUUUCAUAAAAGAAUUAUUAGAUAACGAGUUUAUCAUGUUUUUUUAGUUGUAAUUUUCAUGUCAUCAUAUACCAUAAAAAAAAGAUCAUCACCAUUGAUAUAAAUAGCAAUUAUCAAACACUUUUUCAAUGAAAAUAAUAAAAAUCACUUUUCAAUUUACAUUAAUCACAAUUUAGUUUUAUAUUAAACACAAAACAUCACAUUUUUAAUAUGUGGAAACAAGUAGCAGAGUAAUGGAAUAAAAUAAAAGUAAUGUAAACCACACAAAAUUAAACAAAAAAAAAAAUUCAAUUUUUUUUUUAAUACUAUUUAAUAAAAAUAACCUAGACCUUGAACCCUAAAUUCAUAGUAUUUUGAUUUUUAAAAAAAAUAAAUUUUGUCUUAUUUUUAAAAAAAAAUAUACAAUUUGAUCUGUUUUAUUAAAUUAACAUAAAGAGGAGGAAGUGGUGACAUGAUGUGACAAAGUUAUAAACGCACGUAUAAAAAUGUUAUAAAGUAUGAUUUAAAUUAGUAAUUACAAUUCACUGCAUAAUAAUUUAAAUUUUAAUAUUUUGAAACUUAACCUUAUAUAUUUUAAAUAUUUUUUAUGGCAGCAAACUUUGAAAAUAGUUAUUAAUUAUUAUUAUUAGUGGUAGUUAUAUCUUAUAAAAAUUACAACACAAUUUCCAAGUAAAAUCAUACUUAGUCUUUGAAAAGUUUGACUUUUCCUUCUCUCUGAAGGAAUGAAGGAUCUAUUUAACCACUCCUACUUUACCCUACCUGAAACACACAGAGCCUCAACUCGCUCAAAUGGAUUUGGUUGUAAAUUCCUUGAAUGCAACCACCAUUGCACUCGCUUCUCUAAUUCUCUUCUGUUUCUUUCUCUAUGGUCUCUUCAAAUUUUCUCGAGGGAAAGAACCUCCCACAGUUGCAGGUGCAUGGCCAAUACUUGGUCACCUUCCAUUGAUGAGUGGUUCAAAGUCACCCCACAGAACUUUGGGUGCUUUGGCCGACAAAUAUGGACCCAUUUUCACCAUCAAACUUGGUGCGAAAAGGGCUGUGGUAAUCAACAACUGGGAAAUAGCAAAGGAAUGCUUCACCACAAACGACACAGUCGUUUUCGGUCGCCCCAAGCUUGUUUCGG